GUUUCCUACGGGGGGCAGCAGUGGGGAAUAUUGCACAAUGGGGGAAACCCUGAUGCAACAACGCCGCGUGAGUGAGGAAGUAUUUCGGUAUGUAAAGCUCUAUCAGCAGGGAAUAGAAAAGAAGGUACCUGAAAAAGAAGCCCCGGCUAACUACGUGCCAGCAGCCGCGGUAAUACGUAGGGGGCAAGCGUUAUCCGGAUUUACUGGGUGUAAAGGGAGCGUAGACGGAAAGGCAAGUCAGAAGUGAAAGCCCAAGGCUCAACCAUGGGACUGCAUUGGGAACUGGCGCGCUGGAGUGCCGGAGG
rnacentral:rRNA from 1 species